rnacentral:piRNA from 1 species
UGCCUGGUGGUAGCUCAGCAUUGGUUC